GCCAGGAAUCUUGCGCAAUGGGCGAAAGCCUGACGCAGCAACGCCGCGUGGGCGAUGAAGGCCUUCGGGUCGUAAAGCCCUGUUGUCGGGGACGAAGGGCGAAGGGUUAAUAGCCCCUAGCCUGACGGUACCCGACGAGGAAGCCCCGGCUAACUACGUGCCAGCAGCCGCGGUAAUACGUAGGGGGCGAGCGUUGUCCGGAAUCACUGGGCGUAAAGAGCGUGUAGGCGGCCCGGUAAGUCUGCUGUGAAAACCCGGGGCUCAACCCCGGGCGUGCAGUGGAAACUGCCGGGCUAGAGGGCGGCAGAGGCGAGUGGAAUUCCCGGUGUAGCGGUGAAAUGCGCAGAUAUCGGGAGGAACACCAGUAGCGAAGGCGGCUCGCUGGGCCGUCCCUGACGCUGAGACGCGAAAGCUAGGGGAGCGAACAGGAUUAGAAACCCUAGUAGUCC
rnacentral:rRNA from 1 species